UACGUAGGGUGCAAGCGUUAAUCGGAAUUACUGGGCGUAAAGCGUUGCGCAGGCGGCGCGUUUAAGACAGGUGUGAAAGCCCCGAGCUUAACUUGGGAAUUGCGCUUGUGACUGGCGUGCUGGAGUGUGGCAGAGGGAGGUGGAAUUCCACGUGUAGCAGUGAAAUGCGUAGAGAUGUGGAGGAACACCGAUGGCGAAGGCAGCCUCCUGGGCCAGCACUGACGCUCAUGCACGAAAGCGUGGGGAGCAAACAGG
rnacentral:rRNA from 1 species